GGGUGUGAGAAGCUGCUCAACUUUUCCACCGGCGGGAAAGGAAAUAAGAAAAAAAAACGAAAAGUUCCCAGCGAAGUUACCAACACACCCUAUUCUUUUUAUUCCGUGUGAGACCUGAAAACACAACGUGAGGUCGGGUUUGGAGAGCGACCCCUCCCCCAGGUCCCGCGCGGAGCGAGGGCUCCAGGCUGCGAGCCCCUGCUGGAGAGGAGCCUUCUCGCCGCGUGCUCUCUGCAGACUCCCGAGGCCCGGUCGGGACGCCGUGUGCGUUCCCACUGACAGGCCCAUCAGCCCCGACUCUGCAAAGGCCCGCUGGGGGGCGCAGCCGCGGCCCCGCGGCGCCUCGGGCUGAGGGAGACCCAGAGCGCCGGGCCCGGCCGCGCCCGCGCGGGCUCCUCCUUAAAUGCCGGCCCAGACCCGCUUGCGUGACAUGCCGCGGCUCCUCGGGUGCGCGGUCAACUCAUGCAGGUGAGGCUGGGCCGGCGGCCGGGCAAAGAAGCGUCCCGCUCCCUCCACACGGGCCCGGGCCUCCCUGGUGUCUGCUCAGCCGACCCUGCCUGACCCACCCUGGCUCACGCAGCAGCUGCCAGUGCCGUUCGAGGCCCAGGUGCUAGGCUGCCCCCUCCCGCAGCGGGAGGUGUGUUCUGGGCGGCCCACCCGUACUCCUGGCGGCUCGGUGGACCGAAACCAGGAGACCCGGCUUUGCACCUGCUCGGACAACUGUGUUGGCCCCCGGAGCAAGCCACAGAACCUAGAACAAAGAUAAGUCAGGACUUUCUGUACACCCAGACCUUGGCACAGUGCCAGACACAGGGUAGGGAUGCACAAACAUGCAGAUGAAGGCUAUACCCUAGAGAUGACAAAGCAGCAUGAUGGAAGGAAACCUACUAAUCUGAUAUUAGCAUACCCCACCAGUCGUGAAACACCUUCCAGGACUAUGUGAGAAAUAAAUAAAAAUAUUUCUUUAAAUCACUGUGCACUCACUUUGCAGAGACCUCUACUGUUUCAUACCUAAUGCACAUGUUGGCAUUAUUCCACCACUAGUACACCAUCAAUGCAGCUCAUUUAAUCCUGGU